GACGAACGCUGGCGGCGUGCUUAACACAUGCAAGUCGAACGCAGUGGCGAACGGGUGAGUAACUCGUAAUCAACCUGCCCUUCAGCGGGGGACAACAGUUGGAAACGUCUGCUAAUACCGCAUAGUGAAGGAGGGGAUUGCGUCUGAUUAGCUCGUUGGAGGGGAAACGGCCCACCAAGGCGAUGAUCAGUAGGCGGGCUGAGAGGAUGAACGGGCACAUUGGGACUGAGGCAAGGCCCAGAACCCUAAGGGGGGCAGCAGUGGGGAAACUUCCGCAAUGGACGAAAGGCUGACGGAGCAACGCCGCGGGAGUGAUGACGGCCUUCGGGUUGUAAAGCUCUGUUAAUCGGGACGCGGUACCGGAAUAGAAAGCCACGGCUAACUACGUGCCAGCAGCCGCGGUAAUAC
rnacentral:rRNA from 1 species